rnacentral:rRNA from 1 species
AGAACGAACGCUGGCGGCAUGCCUAAUACAUGCAAGUCGAACGAACGCUUCGGUGUUAGUGGCGCACGGGUGCGUAACGCGUGGGAAUCUGCCCUUGGGUUCGGAAUAACAGUUGGAAACGACUGCUAAUACCGGAUGAUGACGAAAGUCCAAAGAUUUAUCGCCCAGGGAUGAGCCCGCGUAGGAUUAGCUAGUUGGUGAGGUAAAGGCUCACCAAGGCGACGAUCCUUAGCUGGUCUGAGAGGAU